GUAACGACACAACCUAAAUAUCGUUUCGAUCUGAACAAAGUCAAUUUUAUGAACAGGGGUUACGUUUAGCACUUACUGAAUACCCUCGCACACGUCAAAACUAUGAAGAAUGAGUAAUGUCUUUUAUUGUCAAG